CUCGCCAUUUUAGGCACCCGGCCACGUUGUCCUCCCAGCCUACACUGGUACGCCCCCUCCCUCCCGCUCCCGCUCCCCCUCCCCCUGUUUUUUCUUCUCUCUGCAAAAAUCCAAUAAGAAAUCCUAAAGUUUUAGUUUCUGUCUUUUUCGGUGUGCAAUCGAUUCGUAUUUUCCUGUCCGAGAUACUUGAAUCUGUCUGGUUUCUUUUUAAAAAGGAUGAACCUCAGAAUCCCCGGAGCUAGGGUUCUUGUAUGCUUCUGAACCUCUGCCCUCAAUUUGUGAUUCGUUUAGUUAUUUUUAGUGUUUUGAAGGUUUCUUUGGUGGCUAGACAGAAAUUCUUGCCCAUAAACUUUCGAUUUUGAGACGGUUCUCUAAAAAUAUACCGCGGAUCUUAGUGCUCGUGCACAUUUAGGGUUCUUGCCUCUUUUCCAUUUCAAAAAGAGGUCCUUUUUACCGAACAAUAAUCUGUUACUAUUUUUAUUCUUCGCCUUUUGCUCCUUUUCCAUUGCAAAAAAGGGUUUAUUUUCCGGCUUAUUUUUUAUUUUUUUAUUCUUCUGGAGAUAGAGAAAGUAUUUAUUCAGAAUGCCCUCAAUCGAACUUGUGGACCUCUUUUUAACUACAAUUCAGCUUGUAUGCUGCUAUACCUGCCUGCUAUUCCCCUUCAGCCUUCACUGACCUGCUUAUGUUCUCCCUGCACAGAUCAGCUCGGGAGCCACUGGUGUGGGCGUGUAGCCAACAAAUUGGUGUUGGUUCUCCAUUUCCUCAGACUAUAUGGCUGAGACGGGAGAUGCAAGUCGCUUGCCAACAUCCCUUGAUGUGCUGGCUUCAGAUGUUCACUCCAGGCUGGAGUUCCACAGGUAUGCCUUCAUGGACUGUGUUGGCAUUAAAAAUGCGCUUCACUGUGUCAUCGAAGAAAGGGAAAACCUCCAGCAACGACAAAAUGCGAUUGACCAACUGGUUGCUGAAAAGGACAGCCUCACUAAAAAGAAUGAAGAGCUCGCAGCAGAGCUUGAAUCUCUGAAGGAACAGCUCCAAGCAAGGGAAUCGAGCGAUCAACAGCAGGGAAGUGGUUUUCAGCAGAGCCACUCUGGAAUGGCACACCCAAGAUUAAUGCUGAAAAGGAAACGGCAAUCUGGAGAUGAAGAUGUUGAUGAGCAUGAGCUUAUGGAAGAUCUUUCCGUUAUAGAUAAUCCUGAUCAAGGUUUAAACACUGAGCUCGAAGCUACUAGAAAGGAAAUUUCUGAUAUCCACUCUAAGCUGAUUGAGGGGUUCGCUGAUCUUAGUACUACUGGAGGAAGGAAUAUCGCCCUAAAAAACAUAGGGCAAUUGGAUGACAGGCCAUUCCUGGCGGCAUGCCGUAAGAAGCUGCCUGCCGAAGAAGCACAAGAAAAAGCUAAAGAAGUACACCGUGUUUGGCAGGGGCAUAUACAGAACCCAGAGUGGAAUCCCUUCAAGACUGUCACAGUUGAAGGUAUCCCGAAGGAGAUUAUCGAUGUCGAUGAUGACAAGCUGCAAGGGCUAUGUGCUGCAUGGGGUGAAGGGGUGCACAAGGCUGUGGUGAGUUGUUUGGUAGAAAUUCAAGAAAGUGGCAGGCUGGGAGAUAGAAACAUUGUACCCGAGGUCUGGAAUUACAAGUGCAAGAGAAAGGCCACUCACAGUGAGAGCAUCGAGUACUUGUUCGGUCAAGUGAAGCGUCUGAGUGACGCGAAAUCCAGAACCCGCAGCGCAAGGUGACCUUGUAGAGGUGUGGUGGUGCAACAGGAUGAUGACCCACAGUGGCUAGGUAGAACCUGUCUGAAGGUGAAGAACUGAAGACUGGAAUUGUCAAUGAAUCAUAUCGCAGAACAAUGUUAGGAUUUAUGUGUUAUGUAUCUGUUUGGUACCAUUUAUAACCUCUGGUAGAGUGCCGGUAUUAAGCUUUUGCGUGCAACUCUUUUACCAGCAGAUCAGCUAUGUUUCAGUAAUCUGGUAGACUCGGGUAUCUAGCUUAGUGUGAACUCUGAACUUCGAUAUUUAACGUGCAAGACAUUUCUAUGAAUGGCUCAAUGUUUGAAGUAACAUGUGUCUACAUUUUCGUACAAAGAUGUGGAAAAAUAAUACUCCCU
rnacentral:rRNA from 1 species